rnacentral:sRNA from 1 species
UUUUAGCCCCGAUAGUAGUGGAAAUCCUUUUCCUUUUUGCUGCCAAAAAGGGAAAGAUUGCAAUCUCGUUUUAGAACGAGACGGGAU